rnacentral:rRNA from 1 species
CAGCGAAGCGGGAAGAGCCCAAGAGCCCAGCAUCAAAUAUCCCGUCCGUUUCAGCGGUGAUAUAUGUUGUGUAUAGGCGGUCGAUUGUUGCCGGCGUCGAGCGUCGGCCUUAUCCAGAGCGAGUGUCGGCGCGAGACCGGCGGCUUCGAGUUCCUCGGAGUCGGGUUGUUUGAGAAUGUAGCCCAAAGCGGGUGGUAAACUCCCUCUAAGACUGAAUACUAGCACCGAUAGCGGUCAAGUACCGUGCGGGAAAGCUGAAAAGAACUGAUGAGAUAGUUCAAGAGUACGUGAAACCGCAUAGAGUCAAACAGGUGGAUCCGCGGAGUCGACGCGGUGAAUUCAGCCCGGCCUAUGGCGGCCCGUCGGAGUGCAGGGGAUGCCUUAGCGGGUCUCCGCCCCGGCGUACGGCUCGCCGCUCUGGUCGCGUGCACUUUCUCCGCCGUCGAGCACCACAUUCGGGGACGAAUGUUAUAGGUUGCCGUAGUGGACUCGCCGCGUGAUCGAGGACGCUUGCCGCGUCAGCCGGUCUCGGACAGUUCUGGGGUUCUCGACUUCGGACGCGCUGCUCCGCAUGGCGCUGAGACCGUACUCCGGACACGGGCCCGUCCGCCAUGGACGCCUAAGGGUCAGUGGCGAAUCGGUCGUCUUGAAAUUCGGACCAAGGAGUCUAACAUGUGCGCGAGUCAUGGGGGUCAGUACGAAACCCAAAGGCACAAUGAAAAAGAAGAAUCCCCAGGAGUGCCCAGGCAGGAUCGCUGGGCCUCGGUCGGGGGCGUACUGCCUGCCCGUCUCGGCGGCGUCGUACGCGAGGCGGAGCAAGUGCGCACACGUUGGGACCCGAAAGAUGGAGAACUAUGUCUGAGUAGGGCGAAGUCAGAGGAAACUCUGAUGGAGGCCCGCAGCAAAUCUGAUCGUCAAAUUGGAUACAGGGGCGAAAGACUUAUCGAACCAUCUAGUAGCUGGCUCCCUC